UACGAAGGGGGCUAGCGUUGCUCGGAAUCACUGGGCGUAAAGGGUGCGUAGGCGGUUUUAAGUCAGGGUGAAAUCCUGGAGCUCAACUCCAGAACUGCCUUUGAUACUGAAGAUCUUGAGUCCGGGAGAGGUGAGUGAACUGCGAGUGUAGAGGUGAAAUUCGUAGAUAUUCGCAAGAACACCAGUGGCGAAGGCGGCUCACUGGCCCGGUACUGACGCUGAGCACGAAAGCGUGGGAGCAAACAGG
rnacentral:rRNA from 1 species